AUUACAGGGGCUGUCUCAUACAUCUGUAGUCCUUCUCUUUCAUGGAAAUAAGCCUGAUGCAAUGUGAAUUCAUCAACACAGGGCAGAAGGUCCAAUUCAAAUCUAGGAAGCUAAAAAGCUGUUCACUUCAGAUCAGAUGGAAGAGUGCUGGGAAAAGCCUGCCCAAGACAACCAGUAACCCAUGGCAUCAUUGUUGACCAUACAUGGGCACUGAUGUUAUUUAUCUAUGUUAUUUAUUAAUUCUUUAAACAGGAAAAAAACCCAUUGAGACUUUUACAAGAGUGUCCUGGCAAGAUGACCAGAAACAGACAGCAGUAAUUUCACAUCCCUAAAAAUAGCAUCACUCUAAGUGACAUCCCAUUUAAAGAAGCCAGUAACCAUAACAAUGUAUAUAAAGUUAUAACAAUGAUUGGUUUGGACAAUGAAAAUUUGGAUUUGUUGAACACGGUUUGGCUGUGGUGCCAUAUACCUAGUCUGGUUUGGUAACGGUUAUCCAUUGCAAAUGAAGGGUGAGUGUGUUGAUCAUCAUGGUUUAAAUAUGUCACUAGAUUAUAUGGGAAAAGAAACUGAUUAAUUUACCAAUACUGCCAAUCCAUCACAAAUACUAAAUUCAGAGCAAAUCUAAAUAAAGACUAAUGAGUCUAAGAUAAAAAAUCAAUGCUAACAUUCAAAAACUUGAAGAUUCUUCGUAUAAGGUUGUGAUCUUGUUCACAUUUGUUGAUAAACGCUCAGCUCUUAAUAGCAUUGUACUAUCAUGCCUGUGAAGUUCAUUUUUUUAUCAUAACUUCUGUUUCGUUUUAAUGGUUGUCCCCUUUGAAAUUGUAUUCUCUAUGUCAAGUACAGUAUACUGUAGUUUAUGUUUUUAAAAUGUACCAAUUGAAGGAUCAUGUGAUGUCAGAGUGAGAGAAGCAGCUUGCUUGCAGAGUUCCGUGGACAAUACCCUAGAAUUCUGCCAUUUUAGAAUUCAACCAUUUUAUUACUUCAAAGUGAAUUUAACCACACAACAUGCCCUGCAGAAAGAUCAAAUGGGAGUCUCUUCAUUACACUUGAGGAGGCUUUUUAAAUUGUAACUGGCAGUAACUGAAACUGGUUUAAUGUGUGUAUAACUGUAUGUUAUGUAUUUUGUUAUUAUGUAACACACUUGUACGGUGUGUCUCUGUAAUAUCUGGCAAUUUGUGUUGUAUUUUUGGGUUUAUUUUAUGUUGUGUUUCUUUGUAAGGAAGGUUUGUUAACUAUACAGAAAACAAUAAAUAAAUAAAAAUGUGUACUGAGUAUA